GUGCUUUUAUAUUUCAGUGAAACACACGCUAUUCUUGAGUUCAUCUCUGUCAUGAUUUGCUACUUUCUUAAGAUAAUGAUUUCCUGGCCCUCUUGUUCAGAAUGUUUGUCUCUUUAUUCUUUACCAACUUUAGUGAGAAGGGAUUUUUUUUACCAAGAUCUUUAUGAUAGUUUAACUGCUGGAUUCAAUAAUGAUCAUAUAAUAAACUCCUGAUUUCUUAGGUGCCUUAUAUUUCAGUGAAACACGCUCUAUUCUCAAGUUCAAUUUCUGUCACAUUUUGCUAAUUUCUUAGGAUAAUGAUCUCCUGGCCCUCUUGUUCAGAAUGUUUGUCCCAUUAUUCUUUAGCAACUUUAGUGAGAAAGGAUAUUUGUUGCCAAGAUUCUUAUGAUGGUUUAACUGGUGGAUUCGAUAAUGAGCAUCUAAAUUUAGGUUCUUUAUAAAUUCAGAUGAUUAUCUACUUAAGGUGUUGAUUUUUUAUGUGCUUUGUAAUCUACUGAAUUAUGCGUCUUAUUCUAUGUUUCAUUUGCUAAGAUACUGUUUUUUUUUUUUUUUGCUCCUCUAUUUCAUUAUACCUUCUAUUUUAUAUAUUGUUAUAAUUUCAAGGAGGGAUAUGUUUACCAAGAUAUGUUUGAUGUUUUAAUUGCUGGACAUGGUAAUGAUCCUCUAACUUUAGGUGCCUGAUAAAUUUAAAUUUUACGUAAUAAAUUCUUGAUUUUUAUGUGCUUUAUAUUUUAGCGAAAUGUGCUUGCUAUUCUUAAGUUCAGUCUUUGUUUCACCCUGCUACUUAUUUUUCUUUUAUGAUGAUGCUUUUGUAUUUUGUAGCCCGCAUGUUUAGAAUAUUUGUCCCUUUCUUUACCAACUUCUAUUAAGGAUGGAUUUUUUCAAUAGGAUCUCUGUCACAGUUUAACUGUUGGAUUCAGAAAGAUCAUCUAUAUUUGGGUGCUUUAUGAAUUUAGAUGAUUGUCUAGUAAAGUCUGUAUUUCUUUUGAGCUUUAUAUAUUUCACUAAUGUUCUAUACUCGGAAGUACUAUCUCUGGUUUGUCAUGAUAUGUGAUUUAAGAUACUGUUUUUUCUAGCGCUCUUGGUCAUAAUGUUUGUCCCUUCUUUCUUUCAUCAAUUUUAUUGAGGUGUGAUAUCUUUUACCAAGAAUUCUAUGAUGGUUUAAUUGUGGACUUAUAAAUUUAGGCGGCUUUUGUAAUUACUUCAUUUGGCAUUGACCUAUCUGAGUCAAUAAUUAGAUUGCUUAUGUAAUUUUGAUAGAUAAUAGAUGCCUAGUUCUCUCAAUAUUUUUUCCCUUUUAAAAGUUGGUAUAAGCAAGUUAAAUUUAAGAUAAUCUUAUGGUUCAUCUGCAGGAUCUUUAAUCAAGUUGGUCUAUUUUUCAAGACAUGAAGAUCGAUCAAUAAAUGAUAAAAGAAAGAAAACAGUUAAGGAGAGAUUAGGUAUUUCUAAUGGUAAUAGGAGAAGUUACCCUGUUCUUGGUGGGAGGCUACAUUUUGUGAAGUUUGAGACGAGCAAGAUUAAUGAGUGCUUAGACUUCAUUUCUUCCAAGCAGCUUCACCGUGGAGGUUUACACUUGCUAUUAUUUUAUCUUUCUUUCACUCGAUUUCUUAUAUCAUCACUAGUGCACUGAAUUAGUUUGAUCUAUGUCUUGAUUAUGUUUGAGCGGCCAGCUUAUUUCAUUACCUUUCUUUUGCUUUUCCACCUUCUCUUGUCAAGUCUGGUAAUUUCUUG
rnacentral:lncRNA from 1 species